UCAUACAUAAUUUAGUUCGUUGUUUUUCUUCUUCGUGAUUUUAUAUUUUGUCGCGCAAUGGAUGAAUUAAGGAAAUUUUAAUUGAGUUGGAAGGCGAACCAUUUUUGAACGUGUUUAUUGAAAGCGGUCUAACUAAGGAAUCAUUGAAGCUCCUAAAUCCAAACCAAUUGGAUACAUUGAUCGAAACAUCGCAGUUUGGGCCAAGGGUAAUUUUUGAACAUAAUCUGCUCAAUUGGCAAGCGCAACAGGGAAUACAAACACAAGCCAUUCACACUGAGGCAUGCGCUUUAUUGGCAAAUGAAUGUCGUGGCGAGGAAUCUUUUGAAGCAAUACUCAGAUAUAUAUUACAUUCAUAAGAAAAGAAAAAAGCCAGGUGGAUCUCUGUAUGCUAAGUACCACAGUGUAUUAUUGAAACUUAGACGGGAUGGUCUUAUUUCCAAAAGAGAUGUAGAACCAACAAAAGGAACGGAGAUUAAUUCUUGCGUAACAGGUAUAUACAUA